rnacentral:ncRNA from 14 species
GGAAACCUAUCAGGCCCCCUCCUCCUCCCUGGGGCUUGUAAAGAAGGCGGCGGCCUCUCUCCUCCUCCCUGAGGUCGCCGCUCCUUCAACCUGAUACCGCGUCCUCUCCUCCUCCCUGGGCGCGGGAUAUGG